rnacentral:sRNA from 1 species
ACAAACCUGAACCCUGCAGACUGUGCGAGC